rnacentral:other from 1 species
GUUCACCGCCGCACAGGCGGCUUAGAUA